GGCAGCCUGGAUCUGAAUCCUCAUCCCACUUCUUACUAGCUGGGUCAUCUUGGCUACUGGGAGAAUGAACAUAUAAUAAAGAGGGAAAUUGAUAUAGAAGAGCUGGUAGACCUGUACAACCGUGCUCAGUAUUUAGGCUUGUGAGUGAGAAACACCGAGGCCCGCACGAUCCCUUCAAUGAAUUCUCAUCGCCUAAGAAGGAGAAACAGACCGUCUAUGGCAAGUGAGAAAAGGCCCUUGCAAGGUUUUUUGAUGUGAAACCUGGAUUCAGAAUUAAGCGCCACUGAACAGAGAUGGACACAGAAUAGCCGGUUUUGUUCACUGCUAGAUCUCCAGUCCUUAGAGCAGGCUUGGCAUGUGGAAAGUGCUCAAAAAUGACUCGUAGAGAGAACGGAAGAGCGACAGGAGUGUUGUGGAGAGGGCAGCAGGGGAGAGCAAGUGGUCAUCACACCUGAGGAAGAACUGGAUCACGAGCCCCGAUGCCAACAGCACCAACACGGAAGUUUAUUCUAGAAGUUGCGAAGAGUCGGGGCUGAGCACCACUGAAAGUCACCCCCCAGAGCAGGGGAGUGGACUCACGGCCCGCACAGAAGCCCACUGGGCGCCCGGCCACCCCCCUGCCUGGCACCCGUUCCUGCUCGCAGAUGGCCUGUAGGCAUUUCUAACAAACACUCUAAUCAGCGUCUGUAAAUCUGAGCCCAACCUUCUCACGUAUAAAAUGGAAGU